CUUCAGUGGUGAACCUGGACCUUCAGACACACAACACACAGCAGAGUCUUCAGGUUCCAGCAGGUUGUCUCUGAAGAGUGACUGGUCCAAACAUCUUCCACUCGCCUUCAGUGGUGAACCUGGACCUUCAGACACAAAAGAGAAGAGGAGGAGUGAUGUCUGUGAGGAGCAGCCAGAAAGAUCCAGAAGC